rnacentral:rRNA from 1 species
GACGAACGCUGGCGGCGUGCUUAACACAUGCAAGUCGAACGGAAAGGCCCUGCUUUUGUGGGGUGCUCGAGUGGCGAACGGGUGAGUAACACGUGAGUAACCUGCCCUUGACUUUGGGAUAACUUCAGGAAACUGGGGCUAAUACCGGAUAGGAGCUCCUGCUGCAUGGUGGGGGUUGGAAAGUUUCGGCGGUUGGGGAUGGACUCGCGGCUUAUCAGCUUGUUGGUGGGGUAGUGGCUUACCAAGGCUUUGACGGGUAGCCGGCCUGAGAGGGUGACCGGCCACAUUGGGACUAAGAUACGGCCCAGACUCCUACGGGAGGCAGCAGUGGGGAAUAUUGCACAAUGGGCGGAAGCCUGAUGCAGCAACGCCGCGUGCGGGAUGACGGCCUUCGGGUUGUAAACCGCUUUCGCCUGUGACGAAGCGUGAGUGACGGUAAUGGGUAAAGAAGCACCGGCUAACUACGUGCCAGCAGCCGCGGUGAUACGUAGGGCGCGAGCGUUGUCCGGAUUUAUUGGGCGUAAAGGGCUCGUAGGUGGUUGAUCGCGUCGGAAGUGUAAUCUUGGGGCUUAACCCUGAGCGUGCUUUCGAUACGGGUUGACUUGAGGAAGGUAGGGGAGAAUGGAAUUCCUGGUGGAGCGGUGGGAUGCGCAGAUAUCAGGAGGAACACCAGUGGCGAAGGCGGUUCUCUGGGCCUUUCCUGACGCUGAGGAGCGAAAGCGUGGGGAGCGAACAGGCUUAGAUACCCUGGUAGUCCACGCUGUAAACGGUGGGUACUAGGUGUGGGGUCCAUUCCACGGGUUCCGUGCCGUAGCUAACGCUUUAAGUACCCCGCCUGGGGAGUACGGCCGCAAGGCUAAAACUCAAAGGAAUUGACGGGGCCCCGCACAAGCGGCGGAGCAUGCGGAUUAAUUCGAUGCAACGCGUAGAACCUUACCUGGGUUUGACAUGGAUCGGGUGUGCUCAGAGAUGGGUGUGCCUCUUUUGGGGUCGGUUCACAGGUGGUGCAUGGCUGUCGUCAGCUCGUGUCGUGAGAUGUUGGGUUAAGUCCCGCAACGAGCGCAACCCUUGUUCACUGUUGCCAGCACGUUAUGGUGGGGACUCAGUGGAGACCGCCGGGGUCAACUCGGAGGAAGGUGGGGAUGACGUCAAGUCAUCAUGCCCCUUAUGUCCAGGGCUUCACGCAUGCUACAAUGGCUGGUACAGAGAGUGGCGAGCCUGUGAGGGUGAGCGAAUCUCGGAAAGCCGGUCUCAGUUCGGAUUGGGGUCUGCAACUCGACCUCAUGAAGUCGGAGUCGCUAGUAAUCGCAGAUCAGCAACGCUGCGGUGAAUACGUUCCCGGG